AAAGCUUUUGUGGUUUUGGAUGGACUCGCGGCCUAUCAGCUUGUUGGUGGGGUAAUGGCCUACCAAGGCGACGACGGGUAGCCGGCCUGAGAGGGUGACCGGCCACACUGGGACUGAGACACGGCCCAGACUCCUACGGGAGGCAGCAGUGGGGAAUAUUGCACAAUGGGCGCAAGCCUGAUGCAGCGACGCCGCGUGAGGGAUGAAGGCCUUCGGGUUGUAAACCUCUUUCAGUAGGGAAGAAGCCGGCUUUUUGGGUUGGUGACGGUACCUGCAGAAGAAGCGCCGGCUAACUACGUGCCAGCAGCCGCGGUAAUACGUAGGGCGCAAGCGUUAUCCGGAAUUAUUGGGCGUAAAGAGCUCGUAGGCGGUUUGUCGCGUCUGCCGUGAAAGUCCGGGGCUUAACUCCGGAUCUGCGGUGGGUACGGGCAGACUAGAGUGCAGUAGGGGAGACUGGAAUUCCUGGUGUAGCGGUGAAAUGCGCAGAUAUCAGGAGGAACACCGAUGGCGAAGGCAGGUCUCUGGGCUGUAACUGACGCUGAGGAGCGAAAGCAUGGGGAGCGAACAGGAUUAGAUACCCUGGUAGUCCAUGCCGUAAACGUUGGGCACUAGGUGUGGGGGACAUUCCACGUUUUCCGCGCCGUAGCUAACGCAUUAAGUGCCCCGCCUGGGGAGUACGGCCGCAAGGCUAAAACUCAAAGGAAUUGACGGGGGCCCGCACAAGCGGCGGAGCAUGCGGAUUAAUUCGAUGCAACGCGAAGAACCUUACCAAGGCUUGACAUGAACCGGAAUGAUGCAGAGAUGUGUCAGCCACUUGUGGCCGGUUUACAGGUGGUGCAUGGUUGUCGUCAGCGUCGUGUCGUGAGAUGUUGGGUUAAGUCCCGCAACGAGCGCAACCCUCGUUCCAUGUUGCCAGCGGGUUAUGCCGGGGACUCAUGGGAGACUGCCGGGGUCAACUCGGAGGAAGGUGGGGACGACGUCAAAUCAUCAUGCCCCUUAUGUCUUGGGCUUCACGCAUGCUACAAUGGCCGGUACAAAGGGUUGCGAUACUGUGAGGUGGAGCUAAUCCCAAAAAGCCGGUCUCAGUUCGGAUUGAGGUCUGCAACUCGACCUCAUGAAGUUGGAGUCGCUAGUAAUCGCAGAUCAGCAACGCUGCGGUGAAUACGUUCCCGGGCCUUGUACACA
rnacentral:rRNA from 1 species